rnacentral:rRNA from 1 species
GACGAACGCUGGCGGCGUGCUUAACACAUGCAAGUCGAACGCUGAAGCUUGGUGCUUGCACUGGGUGGAUGAGUGGCGAACGGGUGAGUAAUACGUGAGUAACCUGCCCUUGACUCUGGGAUAAGCCUGGGAAACUGGGUCUAAUACUGGAUACGACAUGUCACCGCAUGGUGGUGUGUGGAAGGGGUUUUACUGGUUUUGGAUGGGCUCACGGCCUAUCAGCUUGUUGGUGGGGUAAUGGCUCACCAAGGCGACGACGGGUAGCCGGCCUGAGAGGGUGACCGGCCACACUGGGACUGAGACACGGCCCAGACUCCUACGGGAGGCAGCAGUGGGGAAUAUUGCACAAUGGGCGAAAGCCUGAUGCAGCGACGCCGCGUGAGGGAUGACGGCCUUCGGGUUGUAAACCUCUUUCAGCACGGAAGAAGCGAAAGUGACGGUACGUGCAGAAGAAGCGCCGGCUAACUACGUG